GAAGGUGUGCUGUGAGGCAUGCUGGAGGUAUCAGAAGUGCGAAUGCUGACAUAAGUAACGAUAAAGCGGGUGAAAAGCCCGCUCGCCGGAAGACCAAGGGUUCCUGUCCAACGUUAAUCGGGGCAGGGUGAGUCGACCCCUAAGGCGAGGCCGAAAGGCGUAGUCGAUGGGAAACAGGUUAAUAUUCCUGUACUUGGUGUUACUGCGAAGGGGGGACGGAGAAGGCUAUGUUGGCCGGGCGACGGUUGUCCCGGUUUAAGCGUGUAGGCUGGUUUUCCAGGCAAAUCCGGAAAACUAAGGCUGAGGCGUGAUGACGAGGCACUACGGUGCUGAAGCAACAAAUGCCCUGCUUCCAGGAAAAGCCUCUAAGCAUCAGGUAACAUCAAAUCGUACCCCAAACCGACACAGGUGGUCAGGUAGAGAAUACCAAGGCGCUUGAGAGAACUCGGGUGAAGGAACUAGGCAAAAUGGUGCCGUAACUUCGGGAGAAGGCACGCU
rnacentral:rRNA from 1 species